GUUUCUGUGAGGCGAAUGGUAAUGUGAUGCCUAACCUCCUAAAAAAGGAAAAGGGGGUGCGGGAGUAAGAAAUAGAUCUAAAGAAAAUACAUUACUGAUAGGGAAAGUUUCGGUAAUGACCUCCGGGAUGAAGCUCAUCGUAAUUGGCGGGAUCGCUGGUGCAGCUGCAGAUGAUGAAGCCGCCAAUGGGAUCUCGGUUGAAGCCCCAACUUUCACUAACGGAGUUCCU
rnacentral:lncRNA from 1 species